CAGAGUGACAAGAGCAUUUGGAGAUGAAGUGAUUUCAUUCUUGUCGUCCAGCUGCAGGAACUUGAAGUCAUGCUGCAACCAUAUGUGGAGGAUGCUCCUUCACGAAUCUGGAGGCAAAAGAAUCCAAACUAACAGGUGGACAUUUGUUCCCAUGCUUCACUACGUGGCUGUGACAAUCAGCAGAGCUUGGCAAUGGCAGGAGCUCUACUGGAGUUCUUCAACUGUACAUAUGAAAAUCUCGGACCAACAGCUUCCAAGUUUGGCUACAUCCCUCCUUUUUAUGGGACUUAAUUAAAAUUAUUUUUUAACUUAUUUAAUUUAUAAACUCCAGAUGCUGCAAAUUGAACUCAUUAUCAUCAUAGCUGGGGCAGGGAAGCAGCAGAGCCAGGGAACCCCCACAGCCAGUGGGUGACCACUGGCACUUGGUGAGAAGGCCUGCAAGACCCCCAGCCAGGGGAGAAAGGUUUAGCAGGCAAGGGUGGGGCAACAGGACAAGAGCAGAUAAGCUGGCAGUAGCACUGCUAACAGUGUUUUCUGAGGGUCACAGAGAGCGAGGGCCUGCACAGGGACAAAAGGCCAAGCAAGCUGGGACACAGAGCUCCCACAGCCAUUGAUCCUUGCUGGGUACCUGCCCUCCCUCCCAGGCAGUAGAGCUUCCCAGGUCAGAUGUUUCAUUCAGAGAGAAAAGCCUGGGUGCUAGAAAGAUCCCUAUUGAAAAGCGGACAUUUAAUUUGCAAGAACAAGUGUCUUCAGGUUCAUGGUGGCAUGGUGGUUGCUAUUUUGCCAUCAUGUAAAUGGAUACAGUAGCAAAAUGAACAGACUUCCUCCUGAAGGAUUUGGUUUUGUCUGGUACUUCCUGCAACAGCAGUGUACCAAUAAAGGCAAUGAAACUGACA
rnacentral:lncRNA from 1 species